rnacentral:ncRNA from 1 species
AUAUCGCCGAGGAACGAUCUAGUAAGUAACUCGUUCUAUAAGAGAGGGAAGGGUUGGUGCAACUUCCUGAAGAUGAGUGACUGAACCCAAUCGUGAGGCUUUGAUGAUGAAUCAAACGGUUCCUGCCGUUAUCGGGCUUAAGUGGCGUAUUGCAAUUAAGGUGGUACCGCGGAAGGCUUCUUUCGUCCUUGUU